UACGUAGGGUGCGAGCGUUAAUCGGAAUUACUGGGCGUAAAGGGUGCGCAGGCGGUUAUAUAAGACAGAUGUGAAAUCCCCGGGCUCAACCUGGGAACUGCGUUUGUGACUGUAUGACUAGAGUACGGUAGAGAGGGGUGGAAUUCCUGGUGUAGCAGUGAAAUGCGUAGAUAUCAGGAGGAACACCAAUGGCGAAGGCAGAUCUCUGGGCCGUAACUGACGCUGAGGAGCGAAAGCAUGGGGAGCGAACAGG
rnacentral:rRNA from 1 species